rnacentral:rRNA from 1 species
GACGAACGCUGGCGGCGUACUUAACACAUGCCAGUCGAACGGAAAGGCCUUUUCGGAGGUACUCGAGUGGCGAACGGGUGAGUAACACGUGGGUGAUCUGCCCUGCACUCUGGGAUAAGCCUGGGAAACUGGGUCUAAUACCGGAUAGGACCGCACUUUAGUGUGUGUGGUGGAAAGUUUUUUCGGUGUAGGAUGAGCCCGCGGCCUAUCAGCUUGUUGGUGGGGUAAUGGCCUACCAAGGCGGCGACGGGUAGCCGGACUGAGAGGUUGGUCGGCCACAUUGGGACUGAGAUACGGCCCAGACUCCUACGGGAGGCAGCAGUGGGGAAUAUUGCACGAUGGGCGCAAGCCUGAUGCAGCGACGCCGCGUGGGGGAUGACGGCCUUCGGGUUGUAAACUCCUUUCGCCAGGGACGAAGCGUUUUGUGACGGUACCUGGAGAAGAAGCACCGGCUAACUACGUG